ACAUACGACCAGAGGGUGUGGAGAACAGGGCUUCCCGUCCGCUCAGCCGUACUUAAGCCACACGCCGGUAAGUUAGUAGUUAGGUGGGUGACCACUAGCGAAUCCUUGCUGUUGUAUGUC
rfam:Penicillium antarcticum strain IBT 31811 PENANT_contig026, whole genome shotgun sequence.